rnacentral:misc_RNA from 1 species
CAACCCUCAGGCCCCGCCUGGCGUUGGGGAUCGGCGCGGCGCCUCGUGCGCUGCCGGCCCUGAAAUAUAGUGGCGGUCUCGCUGUAGUCCUCCUCUGCGUAGUAGCUAACACCUCGCACUGGAACGCGGCGCGGCCAUGCCGUUAAACACCCCACUUCUGAA